AUUGAACGCUGGCGGCAGGCUUAACACAUGCAAGUCGAACGAGUGGCGGACGGGUGAGUAAUGUCUGGGAAACUAGCUUAUGGAGGGGGAUAACUACGGGACACUGUAGCUAAUACCGCAUACCAUCGGAUGAGCCCAAGUGGGAUUAGGUAGUUGGUGGGGUAAAGGCUCACCAAGCCGACGAUCCCUAGCUGGUCUGAGAGGAUGACCAGCCACACUGGAACUGAGACACGGCCCAGACUCCUACGGGAGGCAGCAGUGGGGAAUAUUGCACAAUGGGGGCAAGCCUGACGCAGCCAUGCCGCGUGUAUGAAGAAGGCCUUCGGGUUGUAAAGUACUUUCAGUGGGGAGGCGUUAACCGCAGAAGAAGCACCGGCUAACUCCGUGCCAGCCGCCGCGGUAAUAC
rnacentral:rRNA from 1 species